rnacentral:rRNA from 1 species
AGUGAACGCUGGCGGUAGGCCUAACACAUGCAAGUCGAACGGCAGCACAGUAAGAGCUUGCUCUUACGGGUGGCGAGUGGCGGACGGGUGAGGAAUACAUCGGAAUCUACUUUUUCGUGGGGGAUAACGUAGGGAAACUUACGCUAAUACCGCAUACGACCUACGGGUGAAAGCAGGGGAUCUUCGGACCUUGCGCGAUUGAAUGAGCCGAUGUCGGAUUAGCUAGUUGGCGGGGUAAAGGCCCACCAGGGCGACGAUCCGUAGCUGGUCUGAGAGGAUGAUCAGCCACACUGGAACUGAAACACGGUCCAGACUCCUACGGGAGGCAGCAGUGGGGAAUAUUGGACAAUGGGCGCAAGCCUGAUCCAGCCAUACCGCGUGGGUGAAGAAGGCCUUCGGGUUGUAAAGCCCUUUUGUUGGGAAAGAAAAGCAGCAGGUUAAUACCCCGCUGUUCUGACGGUACCCAAAGAAUAAGCACCGGCUAACUUCGUG